rnacentral:lncRNA from 1 species
UAUAAACAAUAAAUUCCAAAUAUUUAAGCAUAAUAUAAAUUCUUAAGCAUUAGAAAAGUGAACAAUCUUGUUGUAAAAAAUUGUACCUGAAAAGUGAAAACACAUACAUAGCAAAAGUUCAAACUGAAAAGUAUCAUUUCAAGCUUCAACAUAAUCUUUUGGAGAACAUAUUUGCAUAUUAUGAUAUGUAAAACCUGCUAUUUUUGUCCUGGAAAAACAGAAACCAAAUAAGAAACUAAAUCAGUCACUAAUUUCAGUGGAAUUCAAACGUUCAUGAAGACUGAUCUCAUUAAGUUACAAAAUAUUGAGAAUUUCUAUUCUAGUUGAUGAAGGAAACACAGAAAUAAAUUCUGUUCAGCAAGUUUAUUUGAGAAAUUACUUUCAUGCAAUUGCACUUCUCAUUUGUUUUCUUUCAUUACCCACUAUAAUCACACG